rnacentral:rRNA from 1 species
AACGAACGCUGGCGGCAUGCCUAACACAUGCAAGUCGAACGAGACCUUCGGGUCUAGUGGCGCAGGGGUGCGUAACGCGUGGGAACCUGCCCUUAGGUUCGGAAUAACUCCCCGAAAGGGGUGCUAAUACCGGAUAAUGUCAUCGGACCAAAGAUUUAUCGCCUUUGGAUGGGCCCGCGUUGGAUUAGCUAGUUGGUAGGGUAAAAGCAUACCAAGGCGACGAUCCAUAGCUGGUCUGAGAGGAUGAUCAGCCACACUGGGACUGAGACACGGCCCAGACUCCUACGGGAGACAGCAGUGGGGAAUAUUGGACAAUGGGCGAAAGCCUGAUCCAGCAAUGCCGCGUGAGUGAUGAAGGCCUUAGGGUUGUAAAGCUCUUUUACCCGGGAUGAUAAUGACAGUACCGGGAGAAUAAGCACCGGCUAACUCCGUG